GACCAAGUAUCGUUUUCCCAAGAGACUCGAAAGGCUUUCUCGUUCACGUCAAUUAAAAUAAUAAGACCUGAAAAUAAAAAUUGAUUGAGAAUUAAAACAAAAUAUGAACAUGUAAAAGAGAUUGAUUCAAAUGACAAGAAGAAAACAAUGGAUGAAUGGAGUUGUUAGGGGUUUACAAUUUCAUCGUUAUCCACUCUCUUAUCUACUCCUCUUGAAUUAUUAGCUUGAUUAAUUAAUUGUCAUGCAACUUUCUUAGCCUACCCUUAACCCGAUCCCUCGGCGAAAAGAGCCUAAUAUUAACUACUGGCUUGCUAUCCCUAGCCUCCCCUAGCAUUAUAGAGCAGAAGUUAAACACAAUUGAUCGUCAUACCCGUACUCUUCGAAUUUUCAAUUUUCUUCUAUUUUCUUGAGUCUACGACCUUUAUCUUCAACUCCAUACUUCACUUUCUCAAAAUAGCUACAAAACAAUGCAAAACAAACAUAAUAUUGGUAAAAACAACUUUUGACUCUCUACAGACUCAUUUAUUGAGUUUUGCUUGAUUCUAAGCUCAUUCUAAGUAGUAAAGGGCGUAAUUCGGUCUAAAAUGACAUAUGAAAAUAACUGUUUUUCAACCUUCAUCAACACCCCAAACUUAGGACUUUGCUUGUCCUCAAGCAAAAGAAAACAAAACAACACACAAAACAAAAAUUGGCUUUAUCCUCUUUCAACAUUCCCAAAGUAUAUGACAAAACUACUCAAUCCCAAAUCUUCAGUGAAAUCAAAUUAAGAUGUAUGCAUGCUUUUAAUCCAGAGAUUGCACAACAAAUGUUACACGCUAUGAAUGAUCAAUCCACGAAGCAAAAAUGCACUCAUGAAAAUUAACAGUUCAUACCAAGCAAGUUUUUCACUCAAUCACUCAAGUGUUUAAGGUGACACUCCAACUCUCUAUUGUUCACAAGUCACAUGAAACAAAAUUGUCAUUCAUCUCAAACAAUCAAAAUCCUUACAUGCAAAUGCCAUCAAAAGGACUUUUCAAGGCUUGUAAUGAGGUUGGGUUAACAAGAAGAAUUGGUUUUUCUGGAAUACAAAGUCCUUGAGUUAUGAGAGCUAUCAAAAUAUUUAACAAAUUAAGCACAACUCUCUUCCUCACCAAUCUCACUCAUUCCCAACUUUUUCCCUUUUUCUUUUUCAUUGAGCUCCUUUUCAUGCUUUUCUUCUUUUCUUUUCUUUUUCUCAUGAAUUUUUCUUUUCACAACAUUUGAGCUCAAUGCUUCACAAUUGCUUUUCAAUUUUUCCCCAUACAACCCCAAACUUGAACCUUUUCAUCCCAUACAUUUAAGCUCAUCCCAACUCAAGGUGAAGAAUUUCACGAAAAGGGUUCACAUCCUAUUUAAGGCUAAGGUUCAAAAAGGCUAUAAUAUUUCAAGCAUUUUGGGUGAAAUUUUGGCUAGAGAAGGGUUCUAAAAAAUGGCCUUGAUCAUAUGACAUUCACAUGCAAUUCAAUCAAUUAUCAAGAUUAAGGCAAUAUCAUUCAUCUUUUCCUGUGAACAAUGCAUACAACAAUAAAAACUCUGGAGCUCAAUACCUCACGCAACAUGCUUUUUCAUACAAAAUUCAAUUAUGCAUCCUGCUUAGCAUCAAAACCACAAUCAUAAUUCAUCACACAUCUAUUUCACAGAAUAUCAACAUGCAUUGCAAUUCAAUUAUCAUUCACAUCAAAUAAUCAUCAAAUAGCUCCAUCAUGCACAUCAGUUAGUCAAACAUUUUCAGAAAAAGUAUUCAAGCCAAGAGUACACACUAAAAUUAAAAUUCAACCUAUUCUAGGAAUUUAAAAUGCAAAAGUGUAAGAAGAAAUCUAGGUUGCCUCCUAGUAGCGCUUGUUUAACAUCACGAGCCUGACCCAAACCUGUUUGGCACUUGUCAGUAAGUGCACUUCCUUCCAACACCCAUUAGUAGGUGUGCCUUCCUGGAAUCCUUCAGUGGAUUCAAAAAUUUUCUAGCAUCCCUCAGUAGAUGCUAUCAUUACGGCCAUCAGAAGUAGCACAUAACCCAAAAAAAAUAAAAAUAAAUAUAAAAAUAGAAAAUAAAAAUAAAAUAAAAUCAAAUCAAAUCAAAUCAAAUCAAAUCAAAUCAAAUCAAAUCAAAUAAAAUAAAAUAAAAUAAUCAAAUAAAAUAAAAUAAAAUAAAAUCGAAUAAAAUAAAAUAAAAUCAAAUAAAAUCAAAUAGAAUAAAAUCAAAUAAAAUCAAAUCAAAUCAAAUCAAAUCAAAUCAAAUCAAAUAAAAUCAAAUCAAAUAAAAGCAAAUAAAAAUAAAAUAAAAUCAAAACGAAAUAAAAAAAUUCAGAAACUGGGUUGCCUCCCAACAAGCGCUCUUUUUAUGUCACUAGCUUGACCUGGUAGAGUUCAAACAUCCAUCAGUAGGUGUUGAUACUCCCUUUCUUGAUAUUCUUUUCUUUUUCUUCUUCCUGCUGAAUUUCUUCAUAAAAUUAAGAACACCAAGCACCUGUUUCCAUGUUUCAAUCAUAGGAACUUUAAUCUCCAAUUUCUUGAAGAUCUCCAUAAAGCUCAAAAAUUUAUUUUCCUUCCUAUGAUCUUUUCUUUUUACCUCUCUUCCUUUUCUUCUCUCUCCUCAACUUUCCUCUUUUCUCUUUUCUUCUUUUCUUCUUUAUUUUUGAAUAUUUUUUCUUUUUUUCUUUUUUCUCAACCACUGGUUUUUCUCCCUCAUCAUCUUUAUCUUCCUCAACCAACUCUUCUAAUUCUUCUUCUUUUAAAUCUCUUUCUAUCUUUUCUUCCUUGACAACUUUAUCAUUUUUAGAAAUAUUGGCUUGAUAUUCUUCUUUAGGGUUAACUUCAGUGUUAUCCCUAAUAAUGCCCAAAGACUUCAAUACCUUUGUUAUCUCAUCUUCAUCUAUCUUCUCUUCAUCAAUAACCUAGUCAUCCUCAAAGAUAAUGGCUUGACAUUCUUCUUUAGGGUUAACUUCAGUAUUAACCCUAAUAAUACCCAGAGACUUCAAUGCACAAGAGAUUUGUUCAUCCUGCAAACGUUGUUUCGCUUCCCCUAAUGUUUCUCUUGGCACAAAGGAUUCUUUCUGCCAUAAAAGUUGCUCGGCUUCCACUACAAGAAAAUUUUCAAUUACAUACAGCCAAAAUCCGUAUAUAAUCACCAAAAUCCGUAUAUAAAAUGGUAUUAUAUACGGAUUAUAUACGGACAAAAAUCCGUAUAUAAAACAGUCGUAGGUAAAUUAUAUACGGAUAUAUCCGUAUAUAAAUUAUAUACGGAAAAUCCGUAUGUAAUUUACAUAUGGAAAAAUCCGUAUAUAAUUAUGUACUUAUAUACGGAAAAAUCCGUAUGUAACUUUAUGGCUUUAAAAAAAAAAUUAAACGAUCUCACAUCUACAUCUAAUAAUUAGAACUUUUAUAUAUUUGAUAAAAUUCAAAUACAACUGUUAAAUUGUCAAAAUAUAGUAUCAAAUUGUCAAAUAAUAACUAAUUAUCUUUUACAGUUGAUACAUUACAUGAAUAAAUCAUAAACUUUGAAAGAGAAAAUACGAACACAAGAAGAAGAACCCUGACUGAUGCCAAAUCUCACAUAUCACAGGAUGGUCAAAAGCUUCAUGGUCUGAAAAGGAAGCCACACGAACAAGCUCUUUAUUGAGAAACCGAAACCAGUAUGGAGUAUUUUUGUACUCAUAACCUACAAAAUCAUUUGUCAAUCAAACCGGGUUGUAUGCAAUGAAAGAACUAAACUACGUUGGCAUCACCAUUCGAGCCCAAUUGAAGCCUAUCAUAACAUUAUAGCAAUAAUAUUAGCUCAAGCUAGUUUUGUUCACAAAUUAUUUAAACAUAUAAUGUCCCCAGCUUAAUUCCAAGCCCAAACAAUUCAAAAUGAAUAAUAUUAAGUAUAUGAUGUAUAGUUGAACAUUCAUUCACAUAUAUAAAUUAAACUAAUGCAAAUUUUAUUUUCAGUUUCAUUUCUAAUCAAUAUAGAAUAUAGUCUAGUUUUAACUAUUGAAUUGUAUUUUCAGUUUCAUUUUAGCAUUAUAGACAAGUCUGAAUCAUCUUAUUAGAUUUCUAAACUCUUUAAAAAAGUCUGCCUUUUUCUUAAUCAUAUAACUCACACCAUUAACAUUCAUCAAGACAUAUUAGCUUUAAUUUAGGUUCCAUUGGCCAAUUCUCAAUUCUUCAUCUAUUUCACUUGUUCAGUUCUAUUACCUAUUCAUAAACACCAUUUUAAGCUUCUUCAAAUCAUCAAAUGCACAUUAGAAUUUCAGGGUUUAAAAAUCUGUUUUCAAGACAGAAAAUAUGCAGUAAAAAGCUAUCAUUUUGGGCUUCCACAUAGAAAUUUCAAUUAUGCAUUCAUUUUCCAGCAUUAGUAUCAUAAUUCAUACAUAAUAGCCAUUUUAGAUUUUCUUAGGCAUUUAUACGUAUACUUCUACGUUGCAUCCACAUUCUGCACCAAAAAUUCCAAUUAAGAAACUAUUAAAAAGGCUAGUUUUAGGUUCAUACACAAAUUCUGUUUGCACUCUUUCUGAAUUGUAGCUGCACACCUCUCAUUCAUGAGGUCAAUUAAACUAGUUGCAUGCAUUCUUACAUCUUUCAUAGCAUGUUUCAUUAUUUCCAUACAAUACAUCUUGAGAAUUUUAAUAGUUCAUUUUACAUUCUAUAUUUUUAUUUUCCCUCAUUGCAUUUUCGUUGUUUUUAACAAGAUUAACCAUACACACUUAAACCUAAAAUAAUGAUUAAGAAAGCUAAUAGACAAUGCAUCUCAACAAUAGUGAUAGAACCUGCCCAAGUGAAUUGCCAAAGUUGGGAUCCGCAUUAUAGGUUCCUCAAUCCUAACAUGAUGACUGAAUAUGAAAUAGAACCCGCAUUCUCUUCUCGAACAAUGACCCUCCCGCCAUUAAGUCCCGGUCAAAUCACGUAUAAACAAAAACUCCAUCCUUAAGGUUGGUGACUCACAUCAUUCUCUGAAUUGAAAUGAUAGAAUGAAAUGGGGUGAGGUCAGGUGUAGUGGAGGUGAUGAGGUAGCUUCUCUCUUAAAUAUGGGAGCUUAAAUAAUUGAUUCAAAAAAUGUGUCACAAAUGGUAAUGAGGUAGUUACAUUUAAUUUAAUCACUAAUAAGAUAAAGUUCAAAAUAUAAAAAACCUAUUGAUUACAUAAAUGUGAAUUUAUUGUGAAACAAUUUUAUGCAAUUAUCUGAUUACAUAAAGUUCAAAAUAUAAAAAACCUACUGAAUUUUAUAAUAAAUAUUUUAAAUAAAAAAGGUGUAUUGUUAUUAUCUUGUUUUAAAGUUAAUAUAUACUUCCAAAUAUAUUUACUUGUUUUAGAAGAAUAAUUGAAAUGAUUUUCACAAACAGUUAAACUCAAUCUUAUGGUUUGUUGUCACACCAUGUAUCCUGAGACAAUAUAAGAUAUAUGCCACAAUUAUAUUUUUCGCAAUAAAACUUUAAUCCUUGGGUGAUGGGAGUAGUUAAAGUCAAGAGAAGAAAACAUAAAACUUGGACCUCAAGCGAAGCAUUACUUCAUAAAGAAAGUUUUGAAUAUUUGUUUAAUUUUUGGGGGGAGUAUAAAACAUACCUUAUAAAUUCAGCAGGAACAUAUACACCUCUAUUAGGAAGGAAGUAGUUCCUUUCCCUGCCUAGUAUAAUUGGAGGAUAUGGAACUGGAAAAGUGAAAAAUAAAAUACAAAAAAGAAUCAAAAGUUGCAAGAAUCCAAUCCCACCAAGUAUCUACUAAAAAAUUCCUUUAAUGCAUCAAAUAUUGGCAUUUAAUCACAUUGAUGUAAAAAGAAAUGUAUUAGCUCCCUUUUUUGGCUCAUAAAGCUAAAUCCCUGUUUGUAAUUCAUAGAACUUAAAUGAAGGAAAAUCCAAGUAGGAAGCAGGGUUUGACUACAAUAAGUUGGUAUCUUCUCAUAAUUUGUUUGACUAGUUUUCAAAGAAACAUCUUUGUAUAUAACAAGUUAAAUUCAACAUUUGUUCAAAUCUUUAUUGUAAAAGCCCAAAUCUAAUGCCCACGACUACUCAUCACAAAAGAACCUAAAAAAAUGUUAAAUAAAAGUCCCUGCUGAAAUAUCAGUUUAUUAUAUUGAAAGAAUAAUGAUAAUAACAAACAACUAAGAUUUUCAAGAUAAUAAAUCUAGUUCCCAAGACUACUCAUUAUAAAAAAAACCUACAAAUUAAAACUGUGUUAUGUAAAAGUCCCUACUUUGGUAUCAAUUUAUCAUUGCCAAAGAAUAAUGAUAACAUCAAAUAACUAAAAUAUAAGAAGGCCAAACUGAAUCUCUCAUUAUUACAACACCAGUUAUUUGUUUCACCUCUACAUCAUAUCAUACCGCCCCAAUUGUUGUUGCUUUAAAUUUAACAAAUAUAGUACCACUAUGUCGCCAGUAGUGGCUACUACUGAAUGAGCAACUUCCAUCUCCCUGUCAUUCUCGAGAAAGGCAGCCAACUACACGGAAGUUAGAAAUACCAAAUUAACAUUAUAUUUAAUUGGUUAUUAGUGUCAUUUGUUUGCAUUUAUGAAAUGAGAAACGUAGAUAAGUUUUUGGUUGGAAGAAAUAAAAUACCUACAAUGGAUCCAUCCUGGCAGUAGAUUUAAAGAACUUGUCAAAAAAGGACCCCUCAACCGAUAACAACAAAAGCAGCACAAACUAAAUAGAUAUAAUGGUUGAUACACUAUAAACUUAAACCGAGGUUGUGAUUGUUAAAAGCCUACCAAGCUUGACUUCGAAAGUUAUGUUCCCAAGUGCAUGAAGCAGACUUAUCGUACCACAAGCAUUACCCACGGUUUGCUUCGUAAAGUACACUUUACUGCUAUAAUCCUACAGCAGAACAACAAAAAUACUCUACUCAAUGCAGGUGCUUCAUUGAUAGACACACAGUUAAAAAUUCAAUUGUAUGAUAUAUGCUACCUAAAAUUAAGAUUUAUAGGGCACUAUUUAAUAAAAUAACCAAUUAAGCUUGAAAGACAAUCUAUAAUUAAUAAUACUCUACCGUCCAAACAAAAUGCAGAAUGCUUUGAAUCAAGGAAAACGAAUAGUCACAGAUGAAAAGACUCCAUAAAUAGACAUAUCCACUCAGGCACUCACCUUUUUUUCAUUUUCCUGUUGCAACCUUUCUUCUUCAGUCUUUUAAGAGGAAAUAAAAGAACCCAAAAUCAGAAGCAACAGAUAUGAAAAUGACUUGACAAUAGAAAUAAAAAUUGGAAAAAGAAAAACUCACAUGUUCGUGAGUUGAAGCUAACCUUUGCGGUAAUGGGAUAAAGAAAAAGCACAACAAGAACUGGAUUUGGAACCAUUUCCAGAAGCUCUUCAUCCAAGCCAAAAACAUCACAAAACUCUACCUCUUCCAUUAGAAGGCCAAGACCCCAGAAGAACUGUAAUUCAUCCAAGAAAACACUUAAAUUCAUGCCUGGUUCAUGACAUCUAGGUUAUCUUCAAGAGGAAGCCACCUUUUCGCAGAUGGGCAUUCGUCUAGGGUGGCCAUUCUAAUUUCUUUCUAAUUGCUCUUAUUGGAGAGUUAUUGGAGAGUCGCCAUCGAGCAUGAUGGUUGGAAGCGGAACCCUAAGGGAGCGAGAGGAAGUUGUGAGAGUGAGGAAAAAGUGUGAGGAGUGAACGAUGAUGGAGAGGUCGGGGCAUUGGAGAGAGGGGUUUAGGGUUUUGACAUUCGGGAGACCGUAUCAUUGAGAUAUGGGACUAUGCCUCCUCCCAUGUGUAACGCAAUCCUUAAUCGCGUUUUCCGCCGCCGUUCAUUCUAUUACCUUCCUUGCACUAUGCUCCUCCAUAUAUUCAAAAGAGGAGAGUUUCAGUCUGUGAGAAGAGACUUCGAGUUAGGGUUCGAAAGAGAUUCAACACAAAACAAAUCGAGUGAGUUUAUUCGAGCAAAGGAGCAGGAAUUAAUAAAAUCUAAUUUUAAUUUUCUUUUUAAAAAAAUAAUUUUCAGAUUCGUAUAUUUGCUUUUAUUUACAUACAAAUUAUGUACUUACAUAUGGGUGAUAUCCUUAGAAAACGUUUCUACCAUCGUACAUGCAAAUUAUAUACGCAUUUUAUAUACGGAUAUAUCAGUAGAUAAAAUCCGUAUAUAAAAUCCGUAUGUAAUACAUCUGUACCUAAAGUCCGUAUAUAAUAUUUAUAUUAUAUACGGAUCCAAAUCCGUAUGUAAAUAUCGGUCGGUAAUAACCAUUUUUCUUGUAAACGUUGUUGAGCUUCCCCUAACGUUUCUUUUCGUACAGAAGAUUGUUUUUGUUGUAAACGUUGUUGGGCUUCCCCCAACGUUUCUUUUCGCGAAGGGGAAUGUUGCCCAAAUUGGCGUUGAUAUAUGUUUGAAUAAGGUUCUCACCAGUGACCGAAACUAUUUUGGUAGAAUUGAGUGCCUAUAGAAUCAAAUUCUUGUCCAAACUGCAUUCUGCAAAAAAUAGGCACAAAACCCUAGAAAACAUUUAUUAGAAAAAAAAUGAAAAUAACAAAAAAAAAAUCAAGUCAAACUCAAUCAAUUCACACUACUAGAAAAAUAAACCUCGAGUCCCCGGCAACGGCGCCAAAAACUUGUUAACGGAUUGGCAAGCGUACCAAAUCGUUCAAGUAAUAAUAAUGGUAAGACCAAGUAUCAUUUUCCCAAGAGACUCGAAAGGAUUUCUCGUUCACGUGAAUUAAAAUAAUAAGACUUGAAAAUAAAAAUUAAUUGAUUGAGAAUUAAAAUAAAAUAUGAACAUGUAAAAGAGAUUGAUUCCAUUGACAAGAAGAAAACAACGGAUGAAUGGAGUUGUUGGGGGUUUACAAUUUCAUCUAUAUCCGCUCUCUCUUAUCUACUCCUCUUGAAUUAUUAGCUUGAUUAAUUAAUUGUCAUGCAACUUUCUUAGCCUACCCUUAACCCGAUCCCUCGGCAAAAAGAGCCUAAUAUUAACUAUUGGCUCGCUAUCCCUAGCCUCCCCUAGCAAUUAGUACAACAUUAUAGAGCAGAAGUUAAACGCAAUUGAUCGUCAUACCCCUAUCCCUAGGUGAUAUUGCAGAAUCAAGAAAUUACUCACCAGUUCAUGACAAUACUGUACGUCCCC
rnacentral:lncRNA from 1 species